ACUUUAUAUUUUUCCUCAAAUAUCAAUUGCAUUAUUGAUUUCUACAAGUAUAAUUUUGGAUUAAUUUGUAUGUAUAGCUAAAUAUCCUCCGUAAAAGUCCCAUAAAAUUCAACAUGAAAACGUCAAUCCUCCUCCAAGAAAUCUCUACAAUUACAUUCCAUUUUCCCAGUUUAGUAUAUUGCUAUAUUAAUUACUAUAAUAUGGUUAUUUUAAUUUAUGAAAGUAGCCGUGUCAGAGCUCAGUGUGAACAAUAGCCUCACAGCUGGAUUCUGCAAGCUCUGCAAUUUCAGUCUGAUCAGUAACAUAGUCUUCAGCAAUAUCUGUGACACCAACACCAAAAUAGUGUUUGUCUUGGGAAGUUAGGCAGUUAGCUGAAGGAUGAACAACACCAUAUCCAAAUCCUUGGGCAGAGUUGCAGUAAGUCUCCACUGUGCCAUCUUUCUUCUCUAAGUUG
rnacentral:misc_RNA from 1 species